AUUGAACGCUGGCGGCAGGCCUAACACAUGCAAGUCGAGCGGAUGAAGGGAGCUUGCUCCUGGAUUCAGCGGCGGACGGGUGAGUAAUGCCUAGGAAUCUGCCUGGUAGUGGGGGAUAACGUCCGGAAACGGGCGCUAAUACCGCAUACGUCCUGAGGGAGAAAGUGGGGGAUCUUCGGACCUCACGCUAUCAGAUGAGCCUAGGUCGGAUUAGCUAGUUGGUGGGGUAAAGGCCUACCAAGGCGACGAUCCGUAACUGGUCUGAGAGGAUGAUCAGUCACACUGGAACUGAGACACGGUACAGACUCCGACGGGAGGCAGAAGUGGGGAAUAUUGGACAAUGGGCGAAAGCCUGAUCCAGCCAUGCCGCGUGUGUGAAGAAGGUCUUCGGAUUGUAAAGCACUUUAAGUUGGGAGGAAGGGCAGUAAGUUAAUACCUUGCUGUUUUGACGUUACCAACAGAAUAAGCACCGGCUAACUUCGUG
rnacentral:rRNA from 1 species